UAACUAGCGGCAGAUCUCAGUAACAACACCAGGAUAACCUGAAGCUGCAAAAUGCUCUUGUACGUGGCUGUACAGCUCUGGAUUCUGCUUCCGCAGUCAGGUCUUGCACAAAGUGACUCCGUGGACCAGUUUCCUCCAGAAGUGAGAGUCUUAGAGGGGAAAAGUGUAACUUUACACUGUAAUUUCACCACAGCUGACCCAAAUCCGUAUCUCUUUUGGUACCGGCAGUAUCCGAACCAGUCUCCACAGCAUAUAGUGACUAAAACGACGUUUGAUGCCACGGAUCAGGCGCUUGUCCAGGGAAAAUUCUCAGCAUCUUUGUACAUGGGUAAUAGGACGGCUCCCUUCCAGAUUGAGGCUGUUUCUCACCAGGAGAGCGCUGUGUAUUACUGUGCUCUGAGACCCACAGUGGGGGAGAAAUGUAUCUCCGCUCUACAAAAGGUUGCUUAGGGAAACGAUAGAAUCGUAAACAGGGGGCUGGAAGGGACAUCGAGAGGCAGCUAUUCCAGCCCCCUGUGAUGAGGCAGAACCAA